GAGUUUGAUCGUGGCUCAGGAUGAACGCUGGCGGCGUGCCUAAUACAUGCAAGUCGAACGAACAGAUAAGGAGCUUGCUCCUUUGACGUUAGCGGCGGACGGGUGAGUAACACGUGGGUAACCUACCUAUAAGACUGGAAUAACUCCGGGAAACCGGGCUAAUGCCGGAUAACAUGUUGAACCGCAUGGUUCUACAGUGAAAGACGGUCUUGCUGUCACUUAUAGAUGGACCCGCGCCGUAUUAGCUAGUUGGUGGGGUAACGGCCUACCAAGGCGACGAUACGUAGCCGACCUGAGAGAGUGAUCGGCCACACUGGAACUGAGACACGGUCCAGACUCCUACGGGAGGCAGCAGUAGGGAAUCUUCCGCAAUGGGCGAAAGCCUGACGGAGCAACGCCGCGUGAGUGAUGAAGGUCUUCGGAUCGUAAAGCUCUGUUGUUAGGGAAGAACAAAUGUGUAAGUAACUGUGCAUAUCUUGACGGUACCUAACCAGAAAGCCACGGCUAACUGCGUGCCAGCCGCG
rnacentral:rRNA from 1 species